AUCGCUUCUCGGCCUUUUGGCUAAGAUCAAGUGUAGUAUCUGUUCUUAUCAGUUUAAUAUCUGAUACGUCCUCUAUCCGAGGACAAUAUAUUAAAUGGAUUUUUGGAGUUAGGAGAUGGAAUAGGAGCUUGCUCCGUCCACUCCAC
rnacentral:snRNA from 1 species